rnacentral:tRNA from 1 species
GGCCCCUUGGCGGAAUGGCAGACGCACGGGACUUAAAAUCCUUUGCCAGCAAUGGCGUCCCGGUUCGAGUCCGGGAGGGGCUA